rnacentral:lncRNA from 1 species
AAUUGAUCUUCACUCUGCCCUCUUGAGUAGCUAUGCAGAGGUUCCCAACUGACUUCAGAUAUUAAUAACAGAUAUAUAUAUAUAGAGAGAGAGAGAGAGAGAGAGGGAGAGAGAGAGAGAGAAGUAGUUUUUACAAGGAUAUUAGAGUGUAGUCUUUAAGCCAAACAGAUUUGGUUAAUACCUGUUCACGCUACCUGAUAAAAUACAUGUAAUUAACUUAUGUAUACAUUUUAUUGGUGCACCGUAUGCUUUUUAUUACAACCUUUAACACAGUCAGUCUUCUAUAGGAUACUAUUCUUUCUUAUAGGUUGUAAGCUAAUAGAAGAAAGGGAUUACUUUUAUUUGUUCUUCACAUUAGGCCUAAUAUAUUGAAUUGUAUCUACAAGCUGCUGAGCAGUCCUGUGAAACCUCCAACAUUAUCUCCAAAUCCGAGGGGAAUUCUGAGUGAGUGAGUGGCAGGGCCGGGAGCCAUGCCCGAGGGCCACGAGCCUGCAACUCCUUCUUCAUGCCAGAAGUCGCAGCGACCUGUCAUGCCUCCGGCCCUCAUGAGGCCACAGGGCCAGGCACACAUUCUCAGCCCCACCAGGGUAGUGCCAGCAGAGGACAAAGGCUCCCAUUCAGAGUGAACUGCUCCAGCCGCAGGCCCCGAGUGGCCCCUCUGAAGCUAAGCCACCUUCCUCCGUGCACCCCGCUGCCUCCCGCCCAAUUCCACCAGCUUCUCUGAAAUCAAUCAGGUCAAGGUCAAACGGCCAAGGUGAAGCCAAACCCAGGGAAGCAGAUUUAGAGAACUGAACAGACACCUCACUGCCAGCUCACAGUUGUGACUCAGCAGAAAUUCUGGAAUGAAGAGCCAGAUGUAAAUGUUUGUGGAAGAGAAGAGAAUAGAUGCUUGUGGAAUUGGCAGUGCAUGAACAAACGCCACACUGAUGAAGGAGUGAGCGAGUGGGUGAAAGGCUGGGCCCUUCGCUCUGCUGAGCGGCUCUGAGGAAACUUCCUUUAGCUGAAUCCUGAAAAGUAUUAAAAGAAAUAUAUUAAGCAACGGCUUGAAGCAAUUCCGUUCC